AGGUACUCAUUUUCUUGUGAGGGAGGUGAAACUUCAGUGUCUCUGUGUGACUCCAAGAAGGAGCUUUUCUACAAGCAGUGGAUUUGCUUAGUGUUGUUUGAGAUUUUUCUCUCCUACUUCCUUCAUAAAGUCAGCAGACAGGAUGUGGAUAGUAAGGAAAAAAGCAGAAGAGAAGCUGAGGAUGGAAAGGGAGCUGACUACCUGGCCUACUGCUGCGACGGGAGGCUGUGCUCGUGCUGUUGAGAGCUACUUUCCAGCUCUGCUCAGCUGGACCAGAUGAGGAGAAUGGCAUCCAGGCAGGAAUAUUUUUACCCAAAUCUGUAAGCUGGUUUCAGCAUUGCUGAUGUGCAAGCUGCUGUUCUGUUCCAACACAGUAUAGAGUCCCGUGGUGUUUGCACCCACCAGAUAGCCCAGCAGCGCAUGGCAGAAGAGGCGACCAUCUGGUCAGACCCACCAGCCACAUACACUGGGUAAGUGAGAGCUGGUUCAUUAUAGACUAAAACAAGUAACUGUGGAAAACGGUCAUUUGACACCUUUUAGAUAGAAUACAGCUAAUUUCUGAACAACAAAGUUCCAUCAUUUGUGUUGCAGAUGCACUUUUAU